GCACAUUUGCAGAGGCUCUUCAGCUACAAGAAUCCAAAGGGGUUUCUGGCAGUUUUGGAAAUGCAAAGCUUUGGGUGUGUAACCCCUUUUCAGCUGAUUGUACAAUUUGCAGAGUGAUUUUAUUUACUCCCAUUUCCCCGGCCGUUUUGAGGAUUAAGGUUUUCCAGAGAAAGAUAGCCAGUAGCAGAUAGAAGGCUUUAUUCUUCCGGAGAGUUCAGUGAGCUGGGCAUUUCACUUGUCUCAAAAUUUACCCUUCUUAGUUGCAACUUCAAAAAAAAUCUUAAUCUGCAGAAAAGGAAUAAUGGAAGUGCUCGACUUGAAAGAGGCACUGGGAAGAUCUCUCCUCUGGGGACACGCUCGUGCUGCCUGACAAGAGCAAAGGAAUAAAAAUGAAGAGAGCAAAGCAGUGGAAAUCCCCAGUGUUUGUGACAUCCCUGACACGAGGCAGGGCAGGAGCACAUUGCCCAUGGCUCUGGUUGUUAGGGCAGGACACGGCAAGACGUGGACACCACCUGGACUGUAUCUGAUCUCAAUUUCGGUGCAGGGGAGGCCAAAGGCUCCCACCCAUGGCCAGAGAAUUGCCUGCUUUUCUUCAGUUCUGUGUCUGGAUGCAUUAAUGCCCUUUUGUGUCCUGUUACAGCAAAGAUUAGAAAAACAACCUCGUGUGACUGAGCCUAAUUGAGAGCCAGGAAGGGAAGGUGAGUGAUGGUGUUGGAGUACGUAGUCACCUGAAAAUGAACUGUCA
rnacentral:lncRNA from 1 species